GCCUGGCUGGCUCAGUCGGAAGAGCAUGAAACUCCUGAUCUCAGGAUUGUGAGUUCGAGCUCCAUGUUGGGUA
rnacentral:tRNA from 1 species